AUCAGCUAGAAAUAAUUGAUAGCUUAAACUCUAAAUGUUAGAAUAUUUGCCAGAUUAUAAAAUGGGAUGCAGUAUAAAAUUGUUAACAGUGCUAAAAAAAACCCAAGAGUCACCAGAUUGAUACAGCUUUCCAUUGCCAAGGUGGUCGUGUUGAUAAUGUAAGACAUAAAUUUUAGUAUUACCUACAUUGUAUACCUAAUGGGUAUAUCAUAUUGGCACUGAACAUAUAUAGGAAAUACUAUUUGUAGAGUCAACCAAUGUGCACUUAAACUGUUGGAUUUUUGGUGGUGCCAGAAAUUUGUGUGGUGAUCCCAACCCAUUAGAAUUAGAGGAGUCAUAUAAUCAUCCAACCUUCCCCUGCCCAUGUAGGUACAUUGCUUCUGAACCUGACCACAUAACCACAAAAUUUAACUUCAGUCUCUUCAGUAUGUUUAUAAUCUUAGCCAUUAGUCACACGAGAAAUAGAAGAGCAAACAGUUUAGGAUAGAAGUUAGCAGGUAGCUGGCAAUGAUGUGAAAUAACUGGCAGCAUAGUACAGGUACAUAAGUUCUAUGUUUUGUUUCUGGAUUUUGUGAAAAUGUUUACAAAUUAAGUCAUAUUCAGAUGUCUGCUAUUAUGCUCUUCUGUUUAAUACAGAUUUUUACACCCAAAAUGAGAAUUAGGCAUAGCUUAAAGUAUAAAUGAGUCUUUUUUUCAGAAUUGUGUAUCUGAAGGUAGGUUUAGUAAAGAAAGUCUUCUGUUUUCAAAGAAAAUGAACUUAAUUGGACAGUCCAUCCCCAACUACAGAAUUCAUAUCAAUCUGGUUUGCUGUAUUUGAGUGUCAAAAGUGUAGUGUUAAUGAUAUCAGAGGAAAUUGUUCACACCUUCAUAAACUACAAAAGUUACCAAAGAAAAUGAAUCAACCAAAUAUAAAAUUUGAAGUACCUAACUGUUAAGGAAUGAGGCCCCUUCUAACAUGAAAGAUUGAUUUCUAGCCCUGGAGGAAAUAUUCUUCCAUAUGGAACAGAUAUACAGAACCUACAAGAUUCCAUUUGAGGUUUUCUUAUCAUGUUGGUAAAAUGUCAACAUUUAUACUUCCAGCAAAAGUACCAGUUAAGGGUCAAGUCCAAAUAUUAUUUCUUAUGGCAAAUUUUCAUGUCUCCUUAAUUCAAAUUAAGGAUUUUGCUCAUCAGUAUUAAAUAAAAGGGGGAGAGAAAAGAAUUCCUGUAAUUGGUAUACUGUAUAAUAUUGUGACUUCCUAAAAAAAUUGAGGGUGAAUUAUAGAAAUGUGUAUUUUAAGUGAGCAAUGUCAGUUAUUUCUAGUAAGUAUGAUAUUGGCUAAAACUAUGUUUGUUUACAUAAUUUAUGUACUCGAUCACUCUGGGUAUUUUUUUUCUUCGCAGAAAAACACGAUUGGGUUAAGAAAAGUUAAAACACUUAUUUUUAAAAUAGUUCAGUAAGCACUAAAGAAUUUACUUAAACUGUUAAAUAAUGAUUUGGGGGGAUAUGAAUUUAUAUAUUACCUGAUGUCCCAAACAGGC
ensembl:lncRNA